CCCUUCGGGGUGUGACUGCGUACCUUUUGUAUAAUGGGUCAGCGACUUAUAUUCUGUAGCAAGGUUAACCGUAUAGGGGAGCCGGAGGGAAACCGAGUCUUAACCGGGCGUUAAGUUGCAGGGUAUAGACCCGAAACCCGGUGAUCUAGCCAUGGGCAGGUUGAAGGUUGGGUAACACUAACUGGAGGACCGAACCGACUAAUGUUGAAAAAUUAGCGGAUGACCUGUGGCUGGGGGUGAAAGGCCAAUCAAACCGGGAGAUAGCUGGUUCUCCCCGAAAGCUAUUUAGGUAGCGCCUCGUGAAUUCAUCUCCGGGGGUAGAGCACUGUUUCGGCUAGGGGGCCAUCCCGGCUUACCAACCCGAUGCAAACUGCGAAUACCGGAGAAUGUUAUCACGGGAGACACACGGCGGGUGCUAACGUCCGUCGUGAAGAGGGAAACAACCCAGACCGCCAGCUAAGGUCCCAAAGUCAUGGUUAAGUGGGAAACGAUGUGGGAAGGCCCAGACAGCCAGGAUGUUGGCUUAGAAGCAGCCAUCAUUUAAAGAAAGCGUAAUAGCUCACUGGUCGAGUCGGCCUGCGCGGAAGAUGUAACGGGGCUAAACCAUGCACCGAAGCUGCGGCAGCGAACGUAUCACCCAAGACAACUUUACGGAGUUGACGAUUGACGGAGCGAAGCGACGUCAAAGCGUUCAUUAAAGUCGAGUUGGCUUAGGGAUACGUUCGUUGGGUAGGGGAGCGUUCUGUAAGCCUGUGAAGGUGUGUCGUGAGGCAUGCUGGAGGUAUCAGAAGUGCGAAUGCUGACAUAAGUAACGAUAAAGCGGGUGAAAAGCCCGCUCGCCGGAAGACCAAGGGUUCCUGUCCAACGUUAAUCGGGGCAGGGUGAGUCGACCCCUAAGGCGAGGCCGAAAGGCGUAGUCGAUGGGAAACGGGUUAAUAUUCCCGUACUUGGUGUUACUGCGAAGGGGGGACGGAGAAGGCUAUGUUGGCCGGGCGACGGUUGUCCCGGUUUAAGCGUGUAGGUGUGUGUUCCAGGUAAAUCCGGUUCACUUUAACACUGAGGCGUGACGACGAGGCACUACGGUGCUGAAGCAACAAAUGCCCUGCUUCCAGGAAAAGCCUCUAAGCAUCAGGUAACACGAAAUCGUACCCCAAACCGACACAGGUGGUCAGGUAGAGAAUACCAAGGCGCUUGAGAGAACUCGGGUGAAGGAACUAGGCAAAAUGGUGCCGUAACUUCGGGAGAAGGCACGCUGACACGUAGGUGAAGUGAUUUACUCAUGGAGCUGAAGUCAGUCGAAGAUACCAGCUGGCUGCAACUGUUUAUUAAAAACACAGCACUGUGCAAACACGAAAGUGGACGUAUACGGUGUGACGCCUGCCCGGUGCCGGAA
rnacentral:rRNA from 4 species